rnacentral:misc_RNA from 1 species
GAUGAAGAACGUAGCGAAAUGCGAUAAGUAAUGUGAAUUGCAGAAUCCAGUGAAUCAUCGAGUCUUUGAACGCACAUUGCGCCCCCUGGUAUUCCGGGGGGCAUGCCUGUCCGAGCGUCAUUGCUGCCCUCAAGCACGGCUUGUGUGUUGGGCCCCGUCCUCCGAUCCCGGGGGACGGGCCCGAAAGGCAGCGGCGGCACCGCGUCCGGUCCUCGAGCGUAUGGGGCUUUGUCACCCGCUCUGUAGGCCCGGCCGGCGCUUGCCGAUCAACCCAAAUUUUUAUCCAGGUUGACCUCGGAUCAGGUAGGGAUACCCGCUGAACUUAAGCAUAUCAAUAAGCGGAGGA